rnacentral:lncRNA from 1 species
AACCAAACUAGCCCAACAAAAAUCUUUAUUUUGGUUCAAAUAAACAUUGAGUUUUAAGUCCAGCGCUUGUCCUGUCUGGUUGUUCUUCGCUGUCUUGUGUGGUUUUUCGCUGGUUCCUUUUGAUUACAGUGGUGAAGUACACCGACUUCUUGAAAGAGGAGUACCUUCCUAGAAACAGAAGUACCGAGAAGCAUAGGCGUGCGCACAGGGGGG